rnacentral:lncRNA from 1 species
CCGAGCCCCCGAUUCGGUCCAGGCAAAAUUGUCCGCCGCCGUCCAGAAUGCGCAAUUUUACAGGACUGAAUUGGUCUCCGCGUCCGGACGCCGGCGGGCUGCCUGGCCCCAGCCGUGUACAUAGGGCGAAAUGAGUAAAGUAACCGCCCCGAAAAGGGCUAGGAGAUUAGAUUCUUGUUAUGUAUAGCUAGAUUCCAUCUUCCAAGUUUGCGGAGCUGUGGAUCUUUUCUUCUGCCAAUUAAAUUUGUUGAUGAGUUAGGCGUUCCGGGUGCAAAAUUUCGGUCCCCUUUGCUCCUUCUCUUUCCCCGUGUUGCUCAGGCACAUAUACUAGUAGUACAAAUUUAGAAAGGCUUCAAUCAACUUCCCCCGCAGAGCGUACAAAUUUAGGAAGGAUUUUACAUCGGCCGAGGAUUUCUGAAACCAUAUGCAUCCUGGCAAGUGGCAGGAAAUUUAGGCUCCGACAGUACAGCCGCAGCCUUCCCUUGAUUGGAUCUACUAGUGUAGUACCGUUGUUAUUGCUACAACUGCUGACACUGAAACCCAUGCAGUAGGGCAGUGGAAGAAUGUUCUGGAAUGCUAGUAAAUUAGGUGAAAAUGAACAGAUUUGAACCUUCUUUUAGAAACUUACGAUACAAAAUACUACAGUGCUUCCGUUUACUCCCUCCGUCCCAUAAUGUAAGACGUCUUUUGACACAACACUAGUGUCAGAAAACGUCUUACAUUAUGGGACAGAGGGAGUAUAUUUUUAGAAAUUUCAAUACAAACUACAUACGGAUGUAUAUAAACAUACUUUAGAGGAUAUAUUCAUUCAUUUUGCUCCGUAUGUACUCCCUCCGUUUCAAAAUUCUUGUCUUAGAUUUGUCUAGAUACAGAUGUAUCUAAUACUAAAACGUGACUUGAUACAUCCGUAUUUAGACAAAUUUAAGACAAGAAUUUUGGGACAGAGGGAGUAGUUUCUUAUUGGAAUCACUAAAAAGACUUAUAUUUAGGAACGAAGGGAGUAAUUUGGAUAAGUUUUUUUCCACAUACGUACCCUUUUGCGCGAUGCCCUGAAUAGGGCGCCAUGCUAGAUUAGCAUGACGCCCCGGGCGAGGCCAUCGUGCUUUAUCUAGAUCGGCGCCUCGGUCCAGACGCUAUGAAAAAUGAUUUUUGUGAAAUAUUUUAAUAUUGAAUUCAUUUUGUGCUGAAGUUUCUGAAAAGGGUUAAAUCUGUCUACUUUUACGUUAAUUGGUAGCACGGUGAGUAUAAUUUCUCGUAAACAGAUUGACUGCUCGAAAAAUUAGAUGGCCGAGAGGCGAAAAUUUCGGACAAAUUUAGUGUUUUGACCCUUUUGUGAAAGUUUAGCCAAAUCUGACCCUGGUUCGAAUUUUUUUUGAGAUCCGACUCUUUUCCAAUCGUCGGGGUCGACGGAAAUUUAGUGUUUUGACCCUUUUGUGAAAGUUGAGCCAGAUCUGACCCUGGCUCAAUUUUUUUUCGAGAUCCGACUCUUUUCCAAUCAUCGGGGUCGACGGCGGUAGGGUAUAACUGCCUACCGCUGAGGCCCUUGGCGGUAGGGUCGCACGCCCUACCCUAAAAAAAACUAAGUAUCAAAUAUAGCGCUCGUACCCGCCUACCGCUGGACACCUCGACGAUAGGGUUGUACAGGCUACUAUUUUUUUAGAGGAAACACAGACUACUAUUUGGCAGUAGGGCUGCACUGCGCUGACGUGGAUGAGUUGCGUACCGCUAGGAGCCUUGACGGUAGGCUGGUAUACCCUAUCGCGAUCGACCUUGGCGGUAGGAAAAUGAUCAGAUCCCAAAUGUUUUUCGAACCAGGGUCAAAUCUAACUUAACUUUUUUGAAAGGGUCAGAACACAAAAUUUGGCCAAAAUUCCAUUGCACGCACGCGUGGGGCCCCCAUUGUGGACGAAAGGAAAUGGCUCAUCACAUUCCUCCGGCAGGAGCAUGACUAGUCUACACUCUUUCGCAGCUGGACAGGGACCGAGAGCUCAUUUCCCCGGACGCAUCGCACGCCAUCUUGACCUGGCUGACGGCGAGCGCGCGCGCGUACGUGCACGAGCGGGAGAGCGAGAAGUUUUCAACGCAGGGACAGCAGCAGCCGAUGACGACGAGAGCUGGGGUCUAGUCUACGUUAAGGGGAAAGAAAAGUUUCAGACGCAGAAGCAAGCUGCCUUCCUGCCUACCAACGCUGUACAGCGACCCGACGUCCGGGUAGACUGCACCUCUUCAUUAUUCUAGCGUGCGUGAGCGUACGCAAUCUGCAGAAAGGCCAGUAGAAAAACCAUAUUCGGUCGGUGUCGCUGGGAAAGGCGGAGGCCGCCUUUGGACAGGUGUGGCGCCGAUAGACUCUACCUGUAACGCACGGCCGGGCCAUCGAUUAUACGCGCCCCCGCACGCACGCACGCACGCUCAUUCAUUCGUCCAUGCGCACCGAAAGAGGGACGAGGAUUGGAUCGGCAGCAACAGCGUUUGCAGUAGUACAACAAGAAUCAAACGGCACUGCUCCGAUUGAUUAGGUCAGCAUUAUUGCCUCCUCGGGAGCUUUUAGCAUUCGGCUUAUGUAACAGGCACUGUAACUGUAGUACCACUGCUCUUUUGCUUAGGUCCGCGGUUUCAGCUCUUCUCUGCUGUACAUUGCGAGUGUUCCUGUUAACAAGAUCGUUGGCUUUUAGCCACCAAACUUUACGUUUAUGGUGCUGCAGAUCUGAGCUAGUUUCGCUUGCAAGUGACACAAGGUAGUAACACAAUUAGGCUUGGUUUUCGAUCGUUAAGCUACUUUGGCCGAGGGACAACACAGUGAGUGGGUCAUAAAUCCUGAUCCGUGCGCUGAAUGGAACCAAAAACCAACUGAAAGGUCGUGAUUCCGGAUUUCCCGGGAAUAAUGAAUGGCGAGUCGCCUCCCUGGCCCAUGAUCGUACACGGGACGCUGCGGCGAUGGGCCGACCCGCUUUCGACGUGCCGUGUAACCGCUGGCCAGCGCCCGUCGCGUCCUGCAUCUGUACAGAAAUUAAAAGCCGAACAGCAGACGCCGUACGAUUUUGUUCGCGUCAUAUCCUCCUUUCUUGCAUCCAUUUGUCCACAGUCCAGCACUUGGAUGUGUCUCAGAGACGCAGCAUGACUGGUCACACUCACUCAACUUUCGUGCAACCCACCCUCCCCCCGAAAAGCUUUCCUCAAUGCGCUUGGUUAACAGAACACCCAUGGGGUACUGCCAGUACGUACUCAGGUUCGUCGUGACCUAAAUAAAUAUGACAAGGAAGGAAGGAAGGAAGGCCUUGGGCUCAUGACAUGAGAGGAACAAAUUCCUGAAAGCAAUCGUGGUAGGUCAGGGGCCAGGCGCAGGCCCAUGUACUACUCUAGUACUACUUCAGGAGGCUUGCUCCGGUGCACCCCCUAACUCAAUUUCCUAGGGGUAUUCUUGACCCCCGUCAUCUAUUUUUUCUCCGGCCCGCUGCUGCCCAUAUCCAAGCCCCGUAGCCCAUAUCCAAGCCCCGUAUAACCCGUAUGACCCAUACGUAUGUAUAUGGUGACAUCCCAAAAAAAAGGAUGACACGACCCCACGACCAGGUAGGACCUGCCGACGGCCGAUCCAUCAAUCACGCAGCUCCUCCAUCAUUCUGGUGAGGUUCUGUAGGAAUAUCGGCGGCAGCGAUCUUAUCGCCGGCGAUCUCGUUCGAGAGCGCGCACGGCACCGUCGUCAACCUCCAGCGCUCGCAGGUACCGCAUCCCGUUUCCCCACGUUUGUCUCGCUCGCGGCAGCAUCAAACGAACUGCCGCUGUUUUCGUCGUAGUGGUUAACCUAGCGGGGCGGGCAACCUAGCUUUCUGGCGGUCCAGGCCAUCGCAUAUCUUGUUCUGGUAGUGCUGCUCGUCGUGAUAUACACAGUGAUCACGCGGGCUAAAGUGGGUUUCUUCUUUCUAGGGUUAACCUAGCGUCGGUUGCCAUCGGUUGUGUGCACGACGGCUCCGUUAUUUGAUGCGGCGGCUUACCUAGGUAUCCGGCGAUCCAAAGUAAUCACGAUUGGUGCCGUGGGCUAGGAAUCUGGCGGCGCAUGUUAUCACGGGUAGCGCUGCUUCUCGCGAUCCAAAGUGAUCACGUACUGGAUUCGUGGGACGUACCUUAACGCCGCUCGGUGUGGAGAGGGGGGAGGAUCCAUGGGCGAUCAGAGGUCGUUGGCGUCGGUUGUGUGCAUGAUCUGAACGCCCUCGGUUGGGGCGCUCUCCGGUUGGUGUAGUUUAUUUAACAUCCGUGAUCGUGCGCUAGGUGUUGUAUAUGUCAGCAUUGAUAAUGUUUGCACAUGUGAUGAUACAUAUUAAUUGUUGUAGGAAAUGGCGGACGAUGAGUUAACUGAUAUGAUGUAUGCCAUGGAGUUUGGAGAACUGAUGAAAGACCGGAUAGAAGAUUGGUCAGAUGAUGAAAAUUCAGAUCGUGAAGAUAGGUCAGAGAAUGGGAACGUAUUGGAAGAUCUUAAUGUGAGUGGCAUUAUCAUGUUGUAAUUUUUUGGUGGCAUCCUACAAUAUUACAUUUUGAAAAUUUAUAGAUGGAUGAACAUGAUCAUGGUCAGGAAAACAAUGAGCAUGAUGAUGGUGAGGAAAACAACUCGGAGAUCUCGAAUGAAGAUUACAUUAGUCAGGUAUGGAAGUGGAAUUUUUUGUUGGCAUGCAUGCAAAUUGAAUUAAUCCUGGAAUAUUAUAUGAUAAGUACUUAUGUAUUUGUGUUAUAUUUUUCAGCUCAUUUCCGAAUGUCAUAAUGCGUACGACUAUUACGGUGAAUCCGACGCGGAGACAGGCCUUGAUGUCGAAUCAUUAGCUGCACCUGAUUCUGGGGAGUCGCAAUCGUCGGUCAUCAUGAGUGAGGUAUGUAUGUAAUCAAUGUUGUAUGGAAGUAAUGUUAUACCAUAGAAAACUGUUUUCAUGGCUAUGUUAUGAUUGUGUAGGUGACAGAAGUUGAGGGGAAAAAGAAUGUCCAAGAUACUGCUAGUGCAAAUGAUAAGAGGGAUAUGUUCAUGCAGAUAAUACAAAUGACUUUUACGUCUCAUGAGGCUGCGUAUGAUUUCUACAACAGCUAUGCUAGAGAUAAUGGUUUCAGCAUUAGAAAGAAUAGGGUCAGGUAUAGCAAAACCGAGUCACGUCAUAUGCGUUAUAGGCGGUUUGUUUGUUCCAGACAAGGAAAACGUGACAGCAGGUUGCUAACCGAGGAAGGACACAACCGUAGGCUCAGACCCGAGACACGCUGCCACUGCGAAGCGCACCUGACCGUGAAGUUUGACCAAAAGCGUGGGGUUUGGUAUGUUGAUAGUUUUGAGGACAAGCAUAGCCAUAUCUUGGCAGGACCGGACGAGGUACCUUUUCUUUGGUUCCACAGAAAAAUCAAAGAGUACCAGAGAGCUGAGAUACUGUCCAUGGGAGCUGCAGGGAUUAGAAUUCACGACAUGAUGGAUUCCUUCAUCAACAAACAUGUAUGGUAUGGCGGUGUUGGUUUUACCAGGCGUGAAAUAUACAACCUUUGCGCCAGGGAGAAGAGGAAGCUGCUUUCAAAAGGUGAUGCUGCCAAAGUCAUAGGCAUCAUGGUCAGUAGGAAAUAGAGGGAUCCUAGCUUCUUUUUCGAGUACAAGCUAGACAAGGAAGGACAUAUGAAUAGGAUGUUCUGGUGUAACUCCCAGUCUCGUCAUGACUGUGAGGACUUCGGCGACGUGCUUGUAUUUGACAGCACGUACAAGAUGAACCGGUAUGGUAUGCCAUUCAUACCCUUUGUUGGUCUUAACAAUCACCGGAAGACCACUGUUUUUGCUUGUGCCAUACUUUCGGACGAGACCGAAGAGACAUAUGUGUGGCUGCUGGAGACUUUUUUGAGGCCCAUGUGUCAAAAGAUGCCGAAGAGUGUUAUCACGGACGCCGACGCUGCGAUGAUCAAGGCAAUUCGCCAAGUCUUGCCAGACGUGUGGCACCGUAUAUGUACGUGGCAUAUAGAAAAAAUAUGAAGAUUCACCCCAGUCACAAGUCCUUGAAGGAGUUCCGAACUCUUCUGUACUACAGCACGUCCAUGGCCACGUUUGAGGAGAGAUGGCACGCGUUUUCCAAAAGAUGGCAGUCGGAAAAAACAGUAACAUGGUUGAGACGGAUGUAUAAGAAGAGGAGACUGUGGGCCGCGGCUUAUCUGACAGAGGGUUUUUGGCUUGGCAUGAAAAGCAACCAGAGGAGUGAAAGUCUAAACUCAUGCCUUCACCUCCACCUAGACGGUGAAAUGACCCUGGUGGAUAUGAUUUUGCACUAUGAGAACGCCAUUGUACGUAUCUGUGAGAAUGAGGCACGAGAUGAUUGUUGGGGAUCGUUGCAGAAUUUUAAAAUUUUGUACACAUCACCAAGAUCCAUCUAUGGAGUUUACUAGCAAUGAGGGGAAAGGAGUGCAUCUACAUACCCUUGUAGAUCGCGAGCGGAAGCGUUCAAGUGAACGGGGUUGAUGGAGUCGUACUCGUCGUGAUCCAAAUCACCGAUGACCGAGUGCCGAACGGACGGCACCUCCGCGUUCAACACACGUACGGAGCAGCGACGUCUCCUCCUUCUUGAUCCAGCAAGGGGGAAGGAGAGGUUGAUGGAGAUCCAGCAGCACGACGGCGUGGUGGUGGAAGUAGCGGGGAUCCCGGCAGGGCUUCGCCAAGCGCAAGUGGGAGAGAGAGGUGUCACGGGAGGGAGAGGGAGGUGCCAGGGGCUAGGGUACAGCAGCCCUCCCUCCCCUGGGGGGCGUCGGCCCCUGGGAUCCCAUCUACAGGGGGGACGGCGGCCAAGGGGGGGAAACUUCCCCCCCAAGUCAGGUGGGGCGCCCCCACCCCAGGGUUUCCAACCCUAGGCGUAGGGGGAGGCCCAUGGGGGGCGCACCAGCCCACCAGGGGCUGGUUCCCCUCCCACUUCAGCCCAUGGGGCCCUCCGGGAUAGGUGGCCCCACCCGGUGGACCCCCGGGACCCUUCCGGUGGUCCCGGUACAAUACCGAUAACCCCAAAAACUUUCCCGGUGGCCGAAACUGGACUUCCUAUAUAUAAUUCUUCACCUCCGGACCAUUCCAAAACUCCUCGUGACGUCCGGGAUCUCAUCCGGGACUCCGAACAACUUUCGGGUUUCUGCAUACUAAUAUCUCUACAACCCUAGCGUCACCGAACCUUAAGUGUGUAGACCCUACGGGUUCGGGAGACAUGCAGACAUGACCGAGACGCCUCUCCGGUCAAUAACCAACAGCGGGAUCUGGAUACCCAUGUUGGCUCCUACAUGUUCCACGAUGAUCUCAUCGGAUGAACCACGAUAUCGAGGAUUCAAUCAAUCCCGUAUACAAUUCCCUUUGUCAAUCGGUACGUUACUUGCCCGAGAUUCGAUCGUCGGUAUCCCAAUACCUUGUUCAAUCUCGUUACCGGCAAGUCACUUUACUCGUACCGUAAUGCAUGAUCCCGUGACUAACUCCUUAGUCACAUUGAGCUCAUUAUGAUGAUGCAUUACCGAGUGGGCCCAGAGAUACCUCUCCGUCAUACGGAGUGACAAAUCCCAGUCUCGAUCCGUGCCAACCCAACAGACACUUUCGGAGAUACCCGUAGUGCACCUUUAUAGUCACCCAGUUACGUUGUGACGUUUGGCACACCCAAAGCACUCCUACGGCAUCCGGGAGUUGCACGAUCUCAUGGUCUAAGGAAAUGAUACUUGACAUUGAAAAAGCUCUAGCAAACGAACUACACGAUCUUUGUGCUAUGCUUAGGAUUGGGUCUUGUCCAUCACAUCAUUCUCCUAAUGAUGUGAUCCCGUUAUCAAUGACAUCCAAUGUCCAUAGUCAGGAAACCAUGACUAUCUGUUGAUCAACAAGCUAGUCAACUAGAGGCUCACUAGGGACAUGUUGUGGUCUAUGUAUUCACACAUGUAUUACGAUUUCCGGAUAACACAAUUAUAGCAUGAAUAAUAGACAAUUAUCAUGAACAAGGAAAUAUAAUAAUAACCAUUUUAUUAUUGCCUCUAGGGCAUAUUUCCAACAGUCUCCCACUUGCACUAGAGUCAAUAAUCUAGUUACAUUGUGAUGAAUCGAACACCCAUAAAGUUUUGGUGUUGAUCAUGUUUUGCUCUAGGGAGAGGUUUAGUCAACGGAUCUGCUACAUUCAGGUCCGUAUGUACUUUACAAAUAUCUAUGUCUCCAUUCUGAACACUUUCACGAAUGGAGUUGAAGCGACGCUUGAUAUGCCUGGUCUUCCAGUGAAACCUGGGCUCCUUGGCAAGGGCAAUAGCUCCAGUGUUGUCACAGAAGAGAGUCAUCGGGCCCGACGCAUUGGGAAUCACCCCUAGGUCGGUAAUGAACUCCUUCAUUCAGAUUGCUUCUUGCGCUGCCUCUGAGGCUGCCAUGUAUUCCGCUUCACAUGUAGAUCCCGCCACGACGCUUUUCUUGCAACUGCACCAGCUUACUGCCCCUCCAUUCAAAAUAUACACGUAUCCGGUUUGUGACUUCGAGUCAUCCAGAUCUGUGUCGAAGCUAGCGUCGACGUAACCCUUUACGACGAGCUCUUCGUCACCUCCAUAAACGAGAAACAUAUCCUUAGUCCUCUUCAGGUACUUCAGGAUAUUCUUGACCGCUGUCCAGUGUUCCAUGCCGGGAUUACUUUGGUACCUUCCUACCAAACUUACGGCAAGGUUUACAUCAGGUCUGGUACAUAGCAUGGCAUACAUAAUAGACCCUAUGGCCGAGGCAUAGGGGAUGACACUCAUCUUUUCUCUAUCUUCUGCCGUGGUCAGGCAUUGAGACGUGCUCAAUUGCACACCUUGCAAUACAGGCAAGAACCCCUUCUUGGACUGAUCCAUAUUGAACUUCUUCAAUAUCUUGUCAAGGUACGUACUCUGUGAAAGACCAAUGAGGCGUCUUGAUCUAUCUCUAUAGAUCUUGAUGCCUAAUAUAUAAGCAGCUUCUCCAAGGUCCUUCAUUGAAAAACACUUAUUCAAGUAGGCCUUUAUACUUUCCAAGAAUUCUAUAUCAUUUCCCAUCAAUAGUAUGUCAUCCACAUAUAAUAUGAGAAAUGCUACAGAGCUCCCACUCACUUUCUUGUAAACGCAGGCUUCUCCAUAAGUCUGUGUAAACCCAAACGCUUUGAUCAUCUCAUCAAAACGAAUGUUCCAACUCCGAGAUGCUUGCACCAGCCCAUAGAUGGAGCGCUGGAGCUUGCAUACCUUGUUAGCAUUCUUAGGAUCGACAAAACCUUCCGGCUGCAUCAUAUACAAUUCUUCCUUAAGAAAGCCGUUAAGGAAUGCCGUUUUGACGUCCAUUUGCCAUAUCUCAUAAUCAUAGAAUGUGGCAAUUGCUAACAUGAUUCGGACGGACUUCAGCUUCGCUACGGGUGAGAAAGUCUCAUCGUAGUCAACCCCUUGAACUUGUCGAUAACCCUUAGCGACAAGUCAAGCCUUAUAGAUGGUCACAUUACCAUCCGCGUCUGUCUUCUUCUUAAAGAUCCAUUUAUUUUCUAUGGCUCGACGAUCAUCGGGCAAGUCAGUCAAAGUCCAUACUUCGUUUUCAUACAUGGAUCCUAUCUCGGAUUUCAUGGCUUCUAGCCAUUUGUCGGAAUCCGGGCCCGCCAUCGCUUCUUCAUAGUUCUAAGGUUCACCGUUGUCUAACAACAUGAUUUCCAUGACAGGGUUGCCGUACCACUCUGGUGCGGAACGUGUCCUUGUGGACCUUAGAAGUUCAGCAGUAACUUGAUCCGAAGCUUCAUGAUCAUCAUCAUUAACUUCCUCCCCAGUCGGUGUAGGCACCACAGGAACAUCUUCCCGCGCUGCGCUACUUUCCGGUUUGGAAGGGGCGACUAUCACCUCAUCAAGUUCCACUUUCCUCCCACUUAAUUCUUUCGAGAGAAACUCUUUCUCCAGAAAGGACCCGUUCUUGGCAACAAAGAUCUUGCCUUCGGAUCUGAGGUAGAAGGUAUACCCAAUGGUUUCCUUAGGGUAUCCUAUGAAGACACAUUUUUCCGACUUGGGUUCGAGCUUUUCAGGUUGAAGUUUCUUGACAUAAGCAUCACAUCCCCAAACUUUUAGAAACGACAGCUUAGGUUUCUUCCCAAACCAUAAUUCAUACGGUGUCGUCUCAACGGAUUUCGACGGAGCCCUAUUUAAAGUGAAUGCGGCAGUCUCUAAAGCAUAGCCCCAAAAUGAGAGCGGUAGAUCGGUAAGAGACAUCAUAGAUCGCACCAUAUCCAAUAGAGUGCAAUUACGACGUUCGGACACACCAUUUCUCUGAGGUGUUCCAGGCGGCGUGAGUUGUGAAAUGAUUCCACAUUUCCUUAAGUGAGUACCAAAUUCGUGACUUAAAUAUUCUCCUCCACGAUCUGAUCGUAAGAACUUUAUUUUUCUGUCACGUUGAUUCUCAACCUCACUCUGAAAUUCCUUGAACUUUUCAAAGGUCUCAGACUUGUGUUUCAUUAGGUAGACAUACCCAUAUCUACUUAAGUCAUCAGUGAGAGUGAGAACAUAACGAUAGCCACCGCGAGCCUCAACACUCAUUGGACCGCACACAUCGGUAUGUAUGAUUUCCAAUAAGUUGGUUGCUCGCUCCAUUGUUCCGGAGAACGAAGUCUUGGUCAUCUUACCCAUGAGGCAUGGUUCGCACGUGUCAAAUGAUUCGUAAUCAAGAGACUCCAAAAGUCCAUCUGCAUGGAGCUUCUUCAUGCGCUUGACACCAAUGUGACCAAGGCGGCAGUGCCACAAGUAUGUGGGACUAUCGUUAUCAACUUUACAUCUUUUGGUAUUCACACUAUGAUAUGUGUAACAUCACGUUCGAGAUUCAUCAAGAAUAAACCAUUGACCAGCGGGGCAUGACCAUAAAACAUAUCUCUCAUAUAAAUAGAACAACCAUUAUUCUCGGAUUUAAAUGAGUAGCCAUCUCGAAUUAAACGAUAUCCUGAUAGAAUGUUCAUGCUCAAAGUUGGCACUAAAUGACAAUUAUUGAGGUUUAAAACUAAUCCCGUAGGUAAAGCAGAGGUAGCGUGCCGACGGCGAUCACAUCGACCUUGGAACCAUUCCCGACGCGCAUCGUCACCUCGUCCUUCGCCAGUCUCCGCUUAUUCCGCAGCUCCUGUUUUGAGUUACAAAUAUGAGCAACCGCACCGGUAUCAAAUACCCAGGAGCUACUACGAGUACUGGUAAGGUACACAUCAAUUACAUGUAUAUCACAUAUACCUUUGGUGUUGCCGGCCUUCUUGUCCGCUAAGUAUUUGGGGCAGUUCUGCUUCCAGUGACCACUUCCCUUGCAAUAAAAGCACUCAGUCUCAGGCUUGGGUCCAUUCUUUGACUUCUUCUCGGCAACGGGCUUACCGGGCGCGGCAACUCCCUUGCCGUCCUUCUUGAAGUUCUUCUUGCCCUUGCCUUUCUUGAACUUAGUGGUUUUAUUCACCAUCAACACUUGAUGUUCCUUUUUGAUCUCCACCUCCGCUGAUUUCAGCAUUGAAUAUACCUCAGGAAUGGUCUUUUCCAUCCCCUGCAUAUUGAAGUUCAUCACAAAGCUCUUGUAGCUUAGUGGAAGCGACUGAAGGAUUCUGUCAAUGACCGCGUCAUCCGGGAGAUUAACUCCCAGCUGAGACAAGCGGUUGUGUAACCCAGACAUUCUGAGUAUGUGCUCACUGACAGAACUAUUUUCCUCCAUUUUACAACUGAAGAACUUGUCGGAGACUUCAUAUCUCUCGACCCGGGCAUGAGCUUGGAAAACCAUUUUCAGCUCUUCGAACAUCUCAUAUGCUCCAUGUUUCUCAAAACGCUUUUAAAGCCCCGGUUCUAAGCUAUAAAGCAUGCCGCACUGAACGAGGGAGUAAUCAUCAGCACGUGAUUGCCAAGCGUUCAUAACUUCUUGGUUCUCUGGGAUGGGUGCUUCACCUAGCGGUGCUUCUAGGACAUAAUCUUUCUUGGCAGCUAUGAGGAUGAUCCUCAGGUUCCGGACCCAGUCCGUAUAGUUGCUGCCAUCAUCUUUCAGCUUGGUUUUCUCUAGGAACGCGUUGAAGUUGAGGGCAACGUGGGCCAUUUGAUCUACAAGACAUAUUGUAAAGAUUUUAGACUAAGUUCAUGAUAAUUAAGUUCAUCUAAUCAAAUUAUUCAAUGAACUCCCACUCAGAUAGACACCCCUCUAGUCAUCUAAGUGAAACAUGAUCGGAGUUAACUAGGCCGUGUCCGAUCAUCACGUGAGACGGACUAGUCAAGAUCGGUGAACAUCUCCAUGUUGAUCGUAUCAUCUAUACGACUCAUGCUCGACCUUUCGGUCUUUCGUGUUCCGAGGCCAUGUCUGUACAUGCUAGGCUCGUCAAGUCAACCUAAGUGUAUUGCUUUUGUUCCGAGGCCAUGUCUGUACAUGCUAGGCUCGUCAAGUCAACCUAAGUUUAUUGCUUGUGUUCCGAGGCCAUGUCUGUACAUGCUAGGCUCGUCAACACCCGUUGUAUGCGAACGUUAGAAUCUAUCACACCCGAUCAUCACGUGGUGCUUCGAAACAACGAACCUUCGCAGCGGUGCACAGUUAGGGGGAACACUUUCUUGAAAUUAUUAUAAGGGAUCAUCUUACUUACUACCGUCGUUCUAAGCAAAUAAGAUGCAAAACAUGAUAAACAUCACAUGUAAUCAAAUAGUGACAUGAUAUGGCCAAUAUCAUUCUGCUCCUUUGAUCUCCAUCUUCGGGGCGCCAUGAUCAUCUUCGUCACCGGCAUGACACCAUGAUCUCCAUCAUCAUGAUGUCCAUCAUUGUGUCUUCAUGAAGUUGUCACGCCAACGAUUACUUCUACUUCUAUGGCUAAUGCGUUUAGCAAUAAAGUAAAGUAAUUUACAUGGCGUUAUUCAAUGACACGCAGGUCAUACAAAAAAUAAAGACAACUCCUAUGGCUCCUGCCGGUUGUCAUACUCAUCGACAUGCAAGUCGUGAUUCCUAUUACAAGAAUAUGAUCAAUCUCAUACAUCACAUAUAUCAUUCAUCACAUCUUCUGGCCAUAUCACAUCACAAGGCACAUGCUGCAAAAACAAGUUAGACGUCCUCUAAUUGUUGUUGCAAGUUUUUACGUGGCUUCUAUAGGUUUCUAGCAAGAACGUUUCUUACCUACGUAAAACCACAACGUGAUAUGCCAAUUUCUAUUUACCCUUCAUAAGGACCCUUUUCAUCAAAUCCGUUCCGACUAAAGUGGGAGAGACAGACACCCGCUAGCCACCUUAUGCAACUAGUGCAUGUCUGUCGGUGGAACCUGUCUCACGUAAGCGUAUGUGUAAGGUCGGUCCGGGCCGCUUCAUCCCACAAUACCGCUGAAACAAGAUAAGACUAGUAGUGGCAAGAAAAAUUGACAACAUCUACGCCCACAACUGCUUUGUGUUCUACUCGUGCAUAGUAACUACGCAUAGGCCUGGCUCAUGAUGCCACUGUUGGGGAUCGUUGCAGAAUUUUAAAAUUUUCUACGCAUCACCAAGAUCCAUCUAUGGAGUUUACAAGCAACGAGGGGAAAGGAGUGCAUCUACAUACCCUUGUAGAUCGCGAGCGGAAGCGUUCAAGUGAACGGGGUUGAUGGAGUCGUACUCGUCGUGAUCCAAAUCACCGAUGACCGAGUGCCGAACGGACGGCACCUCCGCGUUCAACACACGUACGGAGCAGCGAUGUCUCCUCCUUCUUGAUCCAGCAAGGGGGAAGGAGAGGUUGAUGGAGAUCCAGCAGCACGACGGCGUGGUGGUGGAAGUAGCGGGGAUCCUGGCAGGGCUUCGCCAAGCGCAAGCGGGAGAGAGAGGUGUCACGGGCGGGAGAGGGAGGCACCAGGGGCUAGAGUACAGCAGCCCUCCCUCCCCCUUUAUAUAGGCCCCCUGGGGGGGGCGCCGGCCCCUGGGAUCCCAUCUACAGGGGGCGGCGGCCAAGGGGGGGGAACUCCCUCCCCCCAAGUCAGGUGGGGCACCCCCACCCCCAGGGUUUCCAACCCUAGGCGCAGGGGGAGGCCCAUGGGGGGCGCACCAGCCCACCAGGGGCUGGUUCCCCUCCCACUUCAGCCCAUGGGGCCCUCCGGGAUAGGUGGCCCCACCCGGUGGACCCCCGGGACCCUUCCGGUGGUCCCGGUACAAUACCGAUAACCCCCGAAACUUUCCCGGUGGCCGAAACUGGACUUCCUAUAUAUAAUUCUUCACCUCCGGACCAUUCCGGAACUCCUCGUGACGUCCGGGAUCUCAUCCGGGACCCCCAACAACUUUCGGGUUUCCGCAUACUAAUAUCUCUACAACCCUAGCGUCACCGAACCUUAAGUGUGUAGACCCUACGGGUUCGGGAGACAUGCAGACAUGACCGAGACGCCUCUCCGGUCAAUAACCAACAGCGGGAUCUGGAUACCCAUGUUGGCUCCUACAUGUUCCACGAUGAUCUCAUCGGAUGAACCAUGAUGUCGAGGAUUCAAUCAAUCCCGUAUACAAUUCCCUUUGUCAAUCGGUACGUUACUUGCCCGAGAUUCGAUCGUCGGUAUCCCAAUACCUUGUUCAAUCUCGUUACCGGCAAGUCACUUUACUCGUACCAUAAUGCAUGAUCCCGUGACUAACUCCUUAGUCACAUUGAGCUCAUUAUGAUGAUGCAUUACCGAGUGGGCCCAGAGAUACCUCUCCGUCAUACGGAGUGACAAAUCCCAGUCUUGAUCCGUGCCAACCCAACAGACACUUUCGGAGAUACCCGUAGUGCACCUUUAUAGUCACCCAGUUACGUUGUGACGUUUGGCAUACCCAAAGCACUCCUACGGCAUCCGGGAGUUGCACGAUCUCAUGGUCUAAGGAAAUGAUACUUGACAUUGAAAAAGCUCUAGCAAACGAACUACACGAUCUUUGUGCUAUGCUUAGGAUUGGGUCUUGUCCAUCACAUCAUUCUCCUAAUGAUGUGAUCCCGUUAUCAAUGACAUCCAAUGUCCAUAGUCAGGAAACCAUGACUAUCCGUUGAUCAAUGAGCUAGUCAACUAGAGGCUCACUAGGGACAUGUUGUGGUCUAUGUAUUCACACAUGUAUUACGAUUUCCGGAUAACACAAUUAUAGCAUGAAUAAUAGACAAUUAUCAUGAACAAGGAAAUAUAAUAAUAACCAUUUUAUUAUUGCCUCUAGGGCAUAUUGCCAACAAUGAUUGCACGGCCUCACAGAGUUUACCAGUGCCAGUUAGUAGCUCGAGGGAACUUGAGAUAGCUGCUUCUCACGUCUUCACUCCAGCAAACUUCUAUAUGUUGCAGGCUGAUCUUAGGAAAAUUGGUGGCAUGGAGAUUGUAGAAAUAAAGCUCGGAGACGGAUCACAGCAGUACAUCGUGGCCUGGAAGAAUAACCGGAAGAGCCGUUUUUGGGUGGAGUACACUCCAGUAAAUUCCGCAGAAACUAUAAGGUGCAGCUGCAGAAGAAUGAUUCGAAAGGGUCUACCUUGCAAGCACAUAUUCCAUGUACUGAAGUACUUGAAUAUAUCUGAAAUACCAAAGUGUUUAGUUCUUGUGAGGUUCACGAAAGACGCAAGGUUGUGACUGCCCGCCAGGCGCACAAGCGAUCUGUUGGUAUUUGGAUGGACUGGAGCAGCUGAAAGAAUGAAAUAUAGCCAGGUCAGUGUGUUGGCUUCAGAAGCUAUGCAUGCAGCAUGCAAACACCCAACUUUGUGGGAUCAGUUACAUGAGAGUUUGAAGACCGUGAUAGCUAAGAGCCAUGAGUAUGAUCAGCUAAAGGAAAAUUUGAGUAAGAAAACGACUAAUCUUAAUACUUGUGCAAUUGAAUAUGUAGACGAUGGUGAAGGCAACAUAGUUGAAGUUCAUGAUCCUAUUAAAGUAUCAACGAAAGGUGCAACUAAGGUAGAUGAGAACCGCCCUAUGUUGAAAAAUGGUAGGCCACUUUCGUACGACGAGAUCAGAAUCAGGUGCGGCGCAUGCAAAUUGCUAGGGCACACUAAACGCAGCAAGAAAUGCAAACUAAAUAAGAAGUAAGUUUUUGUAUGCAUUGUAGGUUAUAAUUGUUUUUAACUUGUCAUUCAUUAACUUUUCCUGUUAUCGUGUGCAGAAGCGUGGUGGGCGAACAAGAGUAGAACAGUUGCUAAAGUUAUGUUAGGAUGAAUCCAGUGAUCUAAUAGUCAGGUGUUUACAAUGUGUUACUGCAUACAUGAUACAUGAUAUAUACUAUUGCAAGAGGCCAGUACCUUGAGAGAGUGCUUGUAGCAUAUAUGGACUAAACAGGAGGCGGUCACUAGGGACUUUAAUCAUGGAAAAUGGAUAGCAUUUUAGCCAAUGUAAUGAUGACAUCUUUUGUGUUGUCCACUGUAGUUAUAUUAUAUUAGAAAACUAGCCGAUACCCGACAUGUUGUUGCGGGAAUGUUUUGCAAUAUAUUCAUAGAGAAAUGGUUACGUGUAACAUGUAUAUGUUGUUGCGGGAAUAUUUUGUUUGCAUGUUGUGGUGGACCUUUCUCCAUACAUGUUGAAUGACGAGGUGGCAAACUUGCAUGUUAAGAGAAAUAGGUUAGUGGUGGCUAGUUGUUUAGAUAUAGAAGAUGUAAUUAUGUGUGAUAAUAAUUGAAAAAAAUUCACUCCUUUGGUUCACCACCAUUUAGAUAUAGAAGAUACCAGCUCACUUUGGUCUAUAGUAUAGACUUCGUACCAAAAACCCACCAUUUUCCCCUCAUAAAGAAAAGAAAAACCCACCAUUUUAUGGCUUGUAGUGUAACUCGGGCCGCUUGUCGCGAUGACGUGUAGGGGGGGUGACGGAUGCCGUUAGACGGCACGACACACGGCCGCUCCCGUUGCCGGGCCCAUUUAACAAUUUUUAUUUUGAUUACAGCCCAUUUAAAUGGGCCGCGCUGGCCACCUGGUCGGGGCGGUUCUUCCCUCGCGAUCUCCACGCGCGUUCUAUCUAUCCACUGCGACCGCCGCCGCCGCCACCGAUCCACGUCUUGCCGCCGGUCACGUUACGCCAUGGUUUCGUGGAGCGACGAGUCGAGCUCUUCUUCGGAUGGCCAGUCCGUGACUAGCCUGCAGGUACGCUCCUACUAUAUAAUCUCCAAAUAGUGCUAGGCUUAGGGUUGGGGUUCUUCAUUUCCGGUAUUUAACGCAGGGCGUUGAUUUGUGCAUUAUCUCUGUUGUUUCGUUUAGCUUCCUACGACUAUCCCUUGCUAUGAAUGGAGUGGCAUUGCUCACGAUCUGUCUUCUCGUUGUCUGCAUCGAGAACCUUGCGUCAGGCUAGUUGCUUUUGAUUCCUUGGACAGUGGCAGACGUUUUCUUGCCUGUGGUCAGAAGGUAUGUUGUUCCGUACUGUAAAUAUAUGUUAAAUUACCUCGUGCUCGAUUUACUUCGCGGUAAUCCAUUGUUCUGCCCAAAAUUGCAUACAAUUUCAAUUAAUUUGUGCAUUUACAAAGUCCGUAUUUAUGUUUUUUUUACGGUCUAAUAUUUGUUUUAGCACAUAAUAGCAUAUACUUGUAGUUAAUUGAUCCAUGUAUAUAUAUAUAUGUAUAUCAUUGCAUGCUACAUUUUGUGUUUAUAUGAUUGAGACCAUAUUUUUAGUGCAUUGCAUGUAAUUGUAUUGCAUUUGUGCAUAUAUGAUUGAGACCAUAUUUUUUCAUAUUGUAGGAAGAAGUGAAAUGUAACUAUGUGAAAUGGGUAGACCCGGAGUGGUCGGUGGCUACGAAGUUCUGCCUGAGAGAACUGUGGAGCAUGUAUGACGAGAAGCUGAGACAUAAUAUUAAGAAUGCUGAAGAAAAAUGCAUGUUAAUUGGAGAAAAGAGGAGGACGGAGGAAGAGCUGAGAUUUUUCAAAAUGGACUUUGCUAAACUGGUGGCUGAUAAGGAGGAUGCUCUCACGUAGUUGGGCAAUGCAAGAUUGUCACUUAGCGAUCUCAAAGAGGAGCUGGAGAAGAAUAAGAUGGCAGACCAUGGUUGUGCCAAUCUACAUCAGGUCCUGAGGGUAAAGGCUGAGAAAGACCGGGACCGGGUGGUGCUAGAGAGAGAUCAAGUGAUGAGAGAGAGGGACCAGCUGAAGCAAGAGAAAAAAAACUUGAGUAUAUUAUUGCAGAUUUUCUCAAACAGAAACAUGGGUACGUUGAUAAGAUCAAGAAGCUGAAGGAGAUUUGUGAUGAAUUUUAAGUAUGUUUUGUGGUUUAUUGUUGAGCAGAAUGAUCAAGUCCUAUCUGCAUUGUGGCCAGUUCAUUUGUGUAAGGUCUAAGUAUAUUAUAUUAACCAAUAAAUUAUAUCACUUUCGAAAUAGUUUGCCCUUGUUUGACCUGCAUCCUAAUGCGGGUUCUCGGCUAAGCACUGAAAUUCUUUUGCUUCCAUCGGAGCUCUAAAUCGUACUGAUCAAGGGGGCGAAAUAGUAGUUGAUCAUGUGAUUGAUGGUGCUACUGAUCCUGAUCUUCAAGAUGCAUAAAAGCAAAAGGCUAACAAAAAUGCAGCAAAAAAAACUGUGCAAUGUGAUUUCAAGCAACACAUAACGCCAGGGGAGUCUGGCGCAAGACACGAGGAAGAUCCACCUGCGGACGCCGAUCCCGAGAGAUCCAGCGGCAAUCAUGCGCACGGGAUCCCAGGCGGAUCUGCCUACUCCACCAAUCGCAGGAUCCACGGGUGGCCCGUCUGCGUCCGACACAUGGGCUGUCUCCACCGAGCGGUCGGGCGGAACCGGACCUGGCGCGUCCCCCCGCGCGAACUGGCGCACGUCGACUGGGUCGCCCGCGCGGGGACCGGAUCUGUCGUUGUCUCGGGCGUGGGAUCCCACACCGGAUGGCACGACAGCCGAGGUUGAUUCUCAGGCAAACAAAAAGGAAUUUAUCAAUUUUUUUUCUUAUUGUUGAAUAAUGCCAAAUCAAAUCAAAAAAAUAUGCAAAAGUAGAAAAGAAAUGAAUUACUCUUCCAUGACAGAAAAGAAUGAACACAGCAGCAAAAAACAUUAAGGUAGAACAAAUGAAGGGAAGCAAAAAUUUAUUGGUACGAAACGUAUAGUCUGACUGCAUUACACACACACAAGUAUGUGUGAGCGACCAAAAAUCCACACAAAAUCCAUGGUAUCGUGCUUAUUACAUGAAUGAUAGAAAAUCAAAGUUGUCCAUGCCGGGAAACGUGCUUCCGGACUUAAAACAAACGACUAAAUCUUGAAUCUUGAAUCAUGUAUGAUGCCUUCACGCCUUGCUUUUCUUUGCGAUGUCGCGGAUUUUGUUCUUCACACAUUCGAGCGUGUUGGUAGGUGAGAGAACCAACUCGGCGACGAGACGCCUUCUCCUUGCAUUAACCGUGCCCUGCAAUUUUUAGAACAAGGUUUAAUGAAUAGAAGUUGGUAUUAUAUGACAAUUGUACAAGUGUACAAACAGAGAGGACAAAUUACCUGGGUAAAAUCGGUGGUCCAUCGGUCCCCGUCCCAACGCUCUAUAACUUCAAUCACAAAAAGGCCACAAGAGUUCCUGAUAUAUAUGCAAACAUUAGUCACCGUGCACACGAACAUGUCUUUCGUAAGUAGAAAAUGAUGAACCAUAACUCACCCGUCCUCUUGUAGUUGCAUGUCGAUCUGAGGUAUGAUAGGCCACUUAGUGACAUCUGGAUAUUUGCCAGGUGUAAUACGGUUUGCCUCUUCCAUAUCAAUUGCUAUUGCUAGUCGCUAUUUGAAAGAAAGUAGUAGUGAGAAACCAUAUGACAUUUCAUAUGAAGAAUGCUCAAUGUUGGGGAGAGUACCAGUGCUUUCACAGUGUCGAGAGAGAACUCGAGAGCAUAGAGCGAAUCAAAAACUCGGAAUUCUUUCUUGAGGUUGUGCAUCACCACGGUGAUCCAGUGUGUAUUGCCGACGUUCAACGGGAUAAACGACUAAAAUGUGGAACACAUUUGUAAUCAGAUGCAAUUAUGCUUGUUGAAAUGAGUGUUAAUAAACUAGUAAGAACAUAUUGUACCUUAUCACAGACGGUAUACUCGUCCAGAACCCUACGUACUGCUCCAGCUCUGCUCAGCGCACUAUCCAUGUUGUAGUUCGACGGUUUAGGGUUGUAUCGUGCCUUAGCACGAUCAACAAGGUAGUUGGACCUCCAGGCUGGACAGAGGUGCCGAUCAUGACCAACGCGCAGAGCCAAAUGUGUCUGAUAAGCAUCGAUAAUCUGCGUAAAAUAAUAGAACAUUUUAUUUUCAUAGGUGACACCUAGAUUAUGCACUUAAAUAGUAGGACAUGGUAAUAGAUCUUACGUCAUCCGCCAGCCAUGUAUGCUCAAGUACCGGUCGUAUACUCUCCACAGUCACAGAGGUGCCACGUUCAUUGUAGUAAACUCUUUUUGUCAUAUUCUUCUCACACCGAGCAGCUGCCUCCACAAACGCAACAGCAGCAUCGAUGAGUUCCAGUGUCAAAUCGUCCUUAACAGAGCCUUCCAUGUCAUUGUCACUAAACAGAGCUGCAUGAUAAAUUACGAACGUCACGAACGGUGAGUACAUGAAAUGGUAGUAAAUUAAGCACUAAGAUAGCUACUAACGGUACCUCUAGUUGCGGUAGUGUUGCCGGAUGGCUUAGUUCCGCGAGCGCUUCGCUUGCCGGGCUUGUCAAGUUUAAAGGGGGAUUCAAAUUUCUUGGGAACAGUCCGUCGGCGCUUCCCGGAUAUAACAUCGUCUUCUUUUGCGGUUGCUGCAGACUUUUUCCCCUUGCUCUUACCCACCAUCCUGUCGAUAGAACUUGCAAAAAUGUCAAUGUCGGACGAUUCUGCUCGAGGAGAAUUACCUACAAUCCAAGGGUUCUCCGGUGUUGCGCCGCACUCAUCAGUAGGCUUCGUUGUCUUGUCAACAUUUAACUUGGCAGGUGUUUUCUAGUUAACAAAGAAAUAAUGUGAUAGGUUCAGUUAACAAAAAUGAAGAUGCAUAAUUGAGAUAAAUGAAGACAAAUAAAUGAAAACAUACUUCCUCAUCAUCGUUGUUCUGGUUUACAACAGGCUCGUCAGGCUGUGUCAAAUCAAUCACCGGCUCUAGACCGUCAGAGUCAUCCUUGUACAUGAAUUCUUUUUUUUUCUAGCGGACCAUUCUCAAAGGAAUCCACUUCUAGGUCGGCAUCGUUCUUGCCGGAAGCCGCAGCAGCCGCUGGCUUGUACAUCACACCAUUUUGGUUCAACUUCUCUAACAAUCUCUGCAUUACAUAAAAAAUAUUAAUUAAUGUCGGCACGGUUUUGCAACUUCAAAAAUGUUGUAAACAUAGAAUUAAGGGUGUGUCACCUCGGCUACUUGUUCCGGUAUUUCCUUCAUUUGGCUGCGUAUGUAAUCCAUACACCGCUUCAUGAUGAGGUUCAUCAUCUCGUCCGCGUUUGAGGCUAACUUGGACUUCUUUGCCGCACCAACGGCGGGCUUCAUUUUUGGCUUUUCUGGUUCGGGUACUUUGCGCUCCUGCGCCCUAUACUCCUUGGUUAUGUUGUCUUCAAUCUGCAUGUGAAAUACAAGUAUAUGUGAUCAAUAAAAAUAUUCAUACAACUAAUUAUGUUAUAUAAAAGAUUUAAGAAGUACCCAACGUAAUGAAUUACCUUGAUGUUACCACGGCCACGGCCGUGGUCAUAAUCAAACUUGUCUCUCCUUGAGGCUGCAGCUUCAGUCCAAUUCCUCAUUAGAGGUUCCAUGGACAAGCUAGGAUUGAAUGCACAUUCACCUUCCAGAGGCUGAACCUUCUCCCAGUACAGGUACUGCAUCAAUAUGAAAAAUUACAAUUAGUACUAUACAGCAGGUAAAUUAGCAAUCAUAUUUUUUUGCAAUGGUACAAGUCUGAAAGGUGUACCUGCAGGAGAGCUAAGUACCCUCUCGGCCAUUGGCGGAGGUGUUUGCCUUUCCUCACGUUGCGAAGGCAGUCCAGCAGAACCCGGAGGGUGAAUGCAUUCCAAUUAAUCUUGGAUAUACGCUUCACAUCGUCCACCAAUGCGUAAUAUUGCUUUGGUACAGUCUUGCUUGACAUGGGAGCAAGAACUGUUCCAAGCAACACGAGGACAAUUCUCCGAAGGAAAUCGUCGUCGGCGGAUUUAUUUUUUGUGAUGUCCACAAUCAGAUCAUCGAUGACUAUGUUACCUGUGGUCUUGCUCAGGAAUUGAGGCGGCACUCGAUCUUUAACAUCCUCACCGAGAAUACCUUCUGCCGACAGUCCGUGGUUCUCCAAGGCCAAGAUGCACUCAACAUCCACGGCACCGAGAGACACUUCGCCAACCAAGUCUUGUACAAUGAAUCUGCCCUUGCUAGGAUCAAAAAUCUCAACCAUGUACCGGAUCAACAGUGUACGCAUCUUCAGCGAAGGUAUCUCAAGCAUGCUAUGGAGUGUUGUUUUGGCAAGUGCGGCCCGUUGACCGGAAGAUAGACCGGCAAUAAGUUUGCACCAUUUUUCUACGGCGCAAACAAUUUCUCCGUUGAGUUCAUCCAUCCUGUUAAUAUACUUGGUUAUAGUACCAUAAAUUAUGUAAUCAACUUUUUUCCUAACAUAUUGUUGCAUAAAACAUAAUAAUGGAAUACACUAUCCCAUAGUAGAUAGAAAACUAUACAACAUAAUUUAUUCAUACUGAAACAUUCAGCAGAGACACGUGCAGCACAUAAAAUAACAGUUUAACAAGUACUUAUUUAACCAAUUAGUUUCAUAAUAAAAAGCAACAUAAUUUAUCUAAUCAUUUAUUUUCAUAUGGUACUGUACAAAUAGAUAUAAGAAUCGGUGACAGUGCCUAAUUAACAGUAAAUCGAAAAGAAAAAAAAACGAAAUUAUGCAUACUGGAACAUGCAUCAAACAAACGUGCAACACAUACAAUAUUAGUCGGCGUCUCAUAGUUGCAACAUGCAUGUCUUAGGGCAUUGCUAUAACUUAAAGUGACUAUGCUAUAACUAACGCUGAUUAAAAAUUGUUGUUUAUUCAUCAAUCCAACCUACAAGUGAAAGAUAACAAACAACAUGCAGAAACUAAUUUGCAAUCGUAUGGCUAUCUAAUCUAAUACACGCACAAACAAAUCUAGUGUCAUAGGCCUAUCUAAUCUAAUACACGCACAAACAAAAAACAUCUACUCCAACAGAUGUAAUGCGAAGAUUAGCGCUAAUUAAUCUUAGUCCUAUCAAAUCUAACACACGCACAAAGAAAAGCAUCAUGGAUGCGGUACGGUUGCCAACAUACUGGAUCGCUCGAUGAAGAUGGAAGUUGUCGGCAUUGUAACGUGGACGCAGUUCGUCCACGACGGCCAGCACGCGCUGACGAUCUUGCUGGGGUUGGGCCGAUGCUAGGGACGCAGCUGUCGUCGACUCGGCGGUAGGAGCCGUCGUAGACGACAUGAAAGACGAUGCCGAGACUAUAUAGGAGGAGGAGGAUCUCCUAGGUCGUCGUAACCACCAGGGAAAGAACGCCCGUGAUCUUUGCCUUCCUUGGUUGAGGAGAGGCAGUACGUGCUCCUAAAUUAAAGGGAUAGGCUUCCCACGCUCGAGUUUUUUUUGUAGAUUCCAAUCCGGGAAUUGUGUAACAAAUCGCAGCUGCUCCUCUCUUUGAGCGACGAGGGGCUCGUUUAAUGUACUUUUUUCUUUUCUUUUUCAUAUUAGAAAAUUUUGAUAUCAAAUAAUUAUUUCAACUCAACCAAAUGGCCCCAAUUUUUUUUCGCACAAUGGGAUGACCAUGGACAUCAUGCCUCAAUUCUCAUCGAUUUCUGACACUCGAUGCAUUUACUAGGACUUUGCCGGCGAAAAGAACCCGAAACGCUGCCCGGACCUGACGCAACGUUCGUUCGGUGUCAGGAAUGGCUCACAUGUUGCAUGGGGGCCUACAUUGGGCAUCCUCACAUGGUGCCAAAGUUUGGUGUCAUUUCAUGCAGGCCAGCACAUAGCACACAUGCAAUCACCAUCAUUCGGGUCUGCCAGAGGGGGAGCCCGAAGGACGUUGUUUUUCUGGACUCAACCAAAUGGCCCCAAAUUUUUUUCACACAAUGGGANNNNNNNNNNNNNNNNNNNNNNNNNNNNNNNNNNNNNNNNNNNNNNNNNNNNNNNNNNNNNNNNNNNNNNNNNNNNNNNNNNNNNNNNNNNNNNNNNNNNNNNNNNNNNNNNNNNNNNNNNNNNNNNNNNNNNNNNNNNNNNNNNNNNNNNNNNNNNNNNNNNNNNNNNNNNNNNNNNNNNNNNNNNNNNNNNNNNNNNAUGGGGGCCUACAUUGGGCUUCCUCACAUGGUGCCAAAGUUUGGUGUCAUUUCAUGCAGGCCAGCACAUAGCACAUGUGCAAUCACCAUCAUUCGGGUCUACCGUAGGGGGAGCCCGAAGGACGUUGUUUUUCUGGACUCAACCAAAUGGCCCCAAAUUUUUUUCACACAACGGGAUGACCGUGGACAUCAUGCAUGCCAAUUCUCAUCGAUUUCUGACACUCGAUGCAUUUACUAGGAUUUUAAAAAACAAUUCAAAUAUAAAAAAGAUAAGAUCUAUUAGAAUGAAGAAGUGAAAUAAAAGAUAACAUAUUAUCUUACAUUUUGAAAAUAUUUCAAAUAUAAAGAAGAGAGAAAAUAUUAGAAUGAAGAAGUGAAAUAAAACAGAACAUUUUAUUUUACAAACUAAAAACAUUUCAAUUAUAAUAAAGAUAAGAAAUAUUAGAAUGAAGAAUUGAAAUAAAACACACCAUUUUAGUUUAUAUUUCAUAAAUAUUAUCAAUAUAAAAACGAGAACGAACAAAUGAAAUAAAACACAACAAAAUUUGGCAUANNNNNNNNNNNNNNNNNNNNNNNNNNNNNNNNNNNNNNNNNNNNNNNNNNNNNNNNNNNNNNNNNNNNNNNNNNNNNNNNNNNNNNNNNNNNNNNNNNNNNNNNNNNNNNNNNNNNNNNNNNNNNNNNNNNNNNNNNNNNNNNNNNNNNNNNNNNNNNNNNNNNNNNNNNNNNNNNNNNNNNNNNNNNNNNNNNNNNNNNNNNNNNNNNNNNNNNNNNNNNNNNNNNNNNNNNNNNNNNNNNNNNNNNNNNNNNNNNNNNNNNNNNNNNNNNNNNNNNNNNNNNNNNNNNNNNNNNNNNNNNNNNNNNNNNNNNNNNNNNNNNNNNNNNNNNNNNNNNNNNNNNNNNNNNNNNNNNNNNNNNNNNNNNNNNNNNNNNNNNNNNNNNNNNNNNNNNNNNNNNNNNNNNNNNNNNNNNNNNNNNNNNNNNNNNNNNNNNNNNNNNNNNNNNNNNNNNNNNNNNNNNNNNNNNNNNNNNNNNNNNNNNNNNNNNNNNNNNNNNNNNNNNNNNNNNNNNNNNNNNNNNNNNNNNNNNNNNNNNNNNNNNNNNNNNNNNNNNNGGGUCUGCCGGAGGGGGAGCCCGAAGGAUGUUGUUUUUCUGGACUCAACCAAAUGGCCCCAAAUUGUUUUCACACAAUGGAAUGACCAUGGACAUCAUGCAUGCAAUUCUCAUCGAUUUCCGACACUCGAUGCAUUUACUAGGAUUUUGCCGGCGAAAAGAACCCGAAACGCUGCCCGGACGUGACGCAAUGUUCGUUCGGUGUCCGGAAUGGCCCAGAUGUUGCAUGGGGGCCUACAUUGGGCAUCCACACAUGGUGCCAAACUUUGGUGUCAUUUCAUGCAGGCCAGCACAUAGCACAUGUGCAAUCACCAUCAUUCGGGUCUGCCGGAGGGGGAGCCCGAAGGACGUUGUUUUUCUAGAGUCAACCAAAUGGAAUUUUGAAAAUAGAAUGAAAAUUGUAUUUAAGAAGUGAAACAGAAGACAACAUACAUUGAUGGAAUUUUGAUUUUUAUAACUAUAAUAAGAAAUAAAAUACAAAACAUAUACUUCAAUUUUAAAACUCUAAGAAGAAAUAACAUAGAAAAAAUAUAUUUGAUAUACCUUUUUUGAAAUAGAAAACCGAAAAAUAUAUUAUAAUAAGGAUGAAACAUAUUAUAUUGCAUUUUUUGAAUUUUAACAGUGUGAGAAUAACUGAAAGAGUAAAAAUAUAUUAGAUUUUAAAUUAUUCUACAUAUAAAAAGAAAAUAAAUAUUUGAUUGAAUAAGUGAAAUAUAAGACAUUAAUUUUUCGUACACAUUGAAUAAGUGAAAUAUAACACAUUGAAGCAGCUCGGUUUUAAAUGUGGUAAUAAUCUGCGCGCGGGUGAGGCUGGCCUGGGACGGCCCACCCGAAUUAGGCCCAAGCGAGCGUCGCGCCGGGCACAUCCCAGCGGUGCUCGGAGUUUAGUCCCACCUCGCCAAGCGAGGGGAGCUCGCACCGGUUUAUAUACCGGGCUGAGCUUCCCUUUUCAAGUUCCUUUCUAAAGCGGGCAGCACAUUGCCUAACCCUGUCCGUCCCUCCCAGUGGGGCCUACUAGCUGCCUAUUAUCACAAUCUGGCGGGCCUGCAUCCUGGGCCAUUAAAUGAUUGGGUUGCUAGUCGUAUGCUGGCCGUUGAAUUGUGUAGUAUGCAGCUAGUAGGCUGGCUUUUUUUGUCAUAUUUCACUUUUUGCAUUUGUCACAAUUAUUUGUUGUUCUUCAAAUCACCUCAUAAAAGAAUAUAACACAAUAAUUUUUCGCACAUUCAUGAAUUUUCUAACUGUCAGAACAAAUAAUACAGAAAAAUAUAUAUGUUAUUCAAAAUUAUUUCAAAGAUAAAACUAAAAAGAAA